UACGUAGGGAGCAAGCGUUGUCCGGAAUCAUUGGGCGUAAAGCGCGCGUAGGCGGCCCUGUAAGUCCGUUGUGAAAGUCAAAGGCUCAACCUUUGAAAGCCGAUGGAUACUGCAGGGCUAGAGUUCGGUAGGGGAGACUGGAAUUCCUGGUGUAGCGGUGAAAUGCGCAGAUAUCAGGAGGAACACCGGUGGCGAAGGCGGGUCUCUGGGCCGAUACUGACGCUGAGGAGCGAAAGCGUGGGGAGCGAACAGG
rnacentral:rRNA from 1 species